UACGUAGGGUGCGAGCGUUGUCCGGAAUUACUGGGCGUAAAGAGCUCGUAGGUGGUUUGUCGCGUUGUUCGUGAAAACUCACAGCUUAACUGUGGGCGUGCGGGCGAUACGGGCAGACUGGAGUACUGCAGGGGAGACUGGAAUUCCUGGUGUAGCGGUGGAAUGCGCAGAUAUCAGGAGGAACACCCGUGGCUAAGGCGGCUCUCUAGUACGGUACUGACGCUGAGACGCGAAAGCGUGGGGAGCAAACAGG
rnacentral:rRNA from 1 species